UUUAUCAUUGGUUUUGAGUUAAGUCUUGCAGUUGACUCCUAUGAGCUUUCAUUUGCCAUGCUUUGACUUCUUUUGUUUAUGAAAUGAUGAUGAUGCAUGAUAUGAACAUGAAACCAAUUGAGUUUGCUUCUUGAUUGUUUAAACUUGAUUUUGAUUGGAUAUCACCUGCUGUUUUGACUUUCUCAUCCUCUUUUGACCCUAGGCAGGUCCUAGUGGUCC
rnacentral:lncRNA from 1 species